AGGUAAGCUACUAAGAGCGAAUGGUGGAUGCCUUGACUGGUAAAGGCGAUGAAGGACGUACUAGACUGCGAUAAGCUACGGGGAGCUGUCAAGAAGCUUUGAUCCGUAGAUUUCCGAAUGGGGCAACCCAAUGUAUAGAGAUAUACAUUACCUAUAUAGGAGCGAACGAGGGGAAUUGAAACAUCUUAGUACCCUCAGGAAAAGAAAUCAAUAGAGAUUGCGUCAGUAGCGGCGAGCGAAAGCGCAAGAGGGCAAACCCAGUGCUUGCACUGGGGGUUGUAGGACUGCAAUAUGCAAGAGGUAAGUUUAGCAGAACAUUCUGGAAAGUAUAACCAUAGAGGGUGAUAGUCCCGUAUGCGAAAAACAAACCUUAGCUAGCAGUAUCCUGAGUAGGGCGGGACACGAGGAAUCCUGUCUGAAUCCGGGUCGACCACGAUCCAACCCUAAAUACUAAUACCAGAUCGAUAGUGCACAAGUACCGUGAGGGAAAGGUGAAAAGAACUGAGGUGAUCAGAGUGAAAUAGAACCUGAAACCAUUUGCUUACAAUCAUUCAGAGCCCUAUGUAGCAAUACAGGGUGAUGGACUGCCUUUUGCAUAAUGAGCCUGCGAGUUGUGGUGUCUGGCAAGGUUAAGCAAACGCGAAGCCGUAGCGAAAGCGAGUCUGAAUAGGGCGCUUAGUCAGAUGCUGCAGACCCGAAACGAAGUGAUCUAUCCAUGAGCAAGUUGAAGCUAGUGUAAGAACUAGUGGAGGACUGAACCCAUAGGCGUUGAAAAGCCCCGGGAUGACUUGUGGAUAGGGGUGAAAGGCCAAUCAAACUUCGUGAUAGCUGGUUCUCUCCGAAAUAUAUUUAGGUAUAGCGUUGUGUCGUAAUAUAAGGGGGUAGAGCACUGAAUGGGCUAGGGCAUACACCAAUGUACCAAACCCUAUCAAACUCCGAAUACCUUAUAUGUAAUCACAGCAGUCAGGCGGCGAGUGAUAAAAUCCGUCGUCAAGAGGGAAACAACCCAGACUACCAGCUAAGGUCCCUAAGUCUUACUUAAGUGGAAAACGAUGUGAAGUUACUUAAACAACCAGGAGGUUGGCUUAGAAGCAGCCAUCCUUUAAAGAAAGCGUAAUAGCUCACUGGUCUAGUGAUUUUGCGCGGAAAAUAUAACGGGGCUAAAGUAAGUACCGAAGCUGUAGACUUAGUUUACUAAGUGGUAGGAGAGCGUUCUAUUUGCGUCGAAGGUAUACCGGUAAGGAGUGCUGGAGCGAAUAGAAGUGAGCAUGCAGGCAUGAGUAGCGAUAAUUAAUGUGAGAAUCAUUAACGCCGUAAACCCAAGGUUUCCUACGCGAUGCUCGUCAUCGUAGGGUUAGUCGGGUCCUAAGUCGAGUCCGAAAGGGGUAGACGAUGGCAAAUUGGUUAAUAUUCCAAUACCAACAUUAGUGUGCGAUGGAAGGACGCUUAGGGCUAAGGGGGCUAGCGGAUGGAAGUGCUAGUCUAAGGUCGUAGGAGGUUAUACAGGCAAA
rnacentral:rRNA from 1 species